UGAUUUCUUUUUACAUUUAAAUUUAAAAAUAUGGUUUGAAAACCUAAAAUAAUUGAUCAUUUUCUUGUGUUUAGCUCCUCCACCUUCCACACGAGUAAAAGAUUUUUAAUUUUUGAUGCUUUCCCUGAAAAUAAAAUUGAGCAUUGUGAUUUACCUCUUAGACUCUUUACUCACCGUUCUUAUUUUUAAUCUUGUUUUUAUUUGAUCAAUGCACUUUUAGCAGAUUGACUUUUAAGAAAAUAAAUUACUCUAAAUCUCUCUUUUACAGUUUUUGACAAUCCUUGGAUGCACGUUUCCUGGGGCAGAGAACAUGAGAUACAUCUGCAUCAUGUGGACAAUUUUCAACCAGUAAAUGGAGUCAGACACAUCAGAGUUCUGCUGUAUGGACCGGUCGGUGCCGGGAAGUCCAGCUUCAUCACCUCUGUCAGUAAUGCUUUGCGAAGGAAAGUGACCUGUGAAGCUCUGGCCAAUGCUGCUAACAGUUCUGGCCAAAGUUUUUCCAAGAAGGUGAAUAUUUAUUUUUCUUUGUUUUAAGACAUGAAAUAGAUACCAUCUUGUAUCACUUAGAUAUUUUAUGGUUUUAAAAGGUAAGGUAAUCACAGUCAGGGAGACUAACACAACAUGUGAGUGCUGGUUUAGUCACAGUUGAGGGAAGACAUGUCCAGACAUGCCCCAUCCUGUCCCUGUGCCUAAAGCCCAGUUCACACUACAUGAUUUUAAUAUUGUCGGCCGAUUCUCAAAACGUGAGAGACCACACACUAACGGGUUCGAUCGUAGAGUGUGAGGUUUCACUCAAGGACAUUCCAAUUCCAGAUAUGUAAUCUCUUAAAAUUCUGUGCUACCACACCUGAAUUUAGAGUAAACAAACAUGGACAAUGAUGUUGAAGCAGUAACUUUUGUUUGUGGACUUAUUUUAACCCAAAAAAGACAUAACCAAAAAUCAAAGCUUUGGAUUAAGAACUGGAGACGUGCGAGCAAGGACUGUAUUUAUUGCACCACAAUAUGGAGGUGAGGUGUUUUUUUCCUCAUAACAAAUACUGUUUUUAAUUUUCUCGUUUUUUCUCGUUUAAUUAACCGUUACCGUUUAGUUAUCAGUUUAUAAUUUUUUGAUGUGUUGAUGUGGUUGUAGAAUAUAUGCAUAUACUGGGCCUUCUUUCAGAAAACUGAAUGAUUGAAACAUCAGAGUAGCUUAAGCUAGAAGAAAGCAUUUCCUGCAUAUUCGUUUCUAGAAAAUCAGAUGGCAGUUAUCCUUUUGUCCCCCCAUUAAAAGGUUAAUGUAUUCCAGCUCCUUUAAUUGAAACCCGCAUGGGGAGUUAAUUGUAUUUUUUCUGGCAUCGCUUCUGAAGCCGCGCAAUAUUUUUGCAGCGCUUUGCGCUUGUCACAGUUUUCUGCACUUCCAUCUUUUUUCUCUAUCUGCUCCUGUAAUUAGACUACAAAUAGAUGAACACAGCAUAACAUUUUCUGUAUGUUUCCUCUGUUGUGUUAUUACUACAGAAUGAAAUCAAAUGUAAUGUUUAAUGUAUUUCUUCAAACAUACCUUCCUUUAUUAAUCAUCUGUUUUAAUUCUAUUAUUAACCUUUGAUUUGUCUUUUUAUUAAUUUCUUGAUCUGCUUUUUGAUUACAUCAACCUUUUUAUAAUCAUACAUGAAUCAAAAUGCAAAUUGCUUGCUUUAUAAUCAUUAGAAAAU